GGCCGGAGAGGACGGGUCCACGCUCAGGCCAGCCGGAGACGGACGGUGACGUCCGAGUCACCUCCAAGCGCCACCUCCUCCUUACAAUACGGACAUCCGGCCCUGCGCUGCGCCCCUAGGCCCACACCUUCGGCGUUGAAACGGAGCUGCCCCCCCUCGCCCGAGCCGGUGGUACGGCCUCCUCCCGGCCCCCGCCGCCGGCGAUUGGUAGGGCCCACGUGCGUGACGCACAAUGGGCAGCUGUUGGUGCCGGCGGCCGCGCACCCGCGCCCGGCAGGGGGCGCCUGGCAGCGCCCACCCGGCGGGGCCCCCGCUACCCUCGCGGCCGCGGCGUCAGGGAGGAUACAGCAUGAGCAGCCGCAGCUCCCGCUCCUUCUGCUUCAUCUUCUUCAGAAUGGACUCGAGCACUCGCCCGGGAACGGAACGUGACGUUGCUGAGUUGUAUCUUGACACGGUGGGGAGUACUUGCGAAGAGGUCCUGACCCAGGAGUCAGAACCAAGAGCCGGAAGGCUGAUGACGAGCUCAUCCGGGAGCUAGUGUGUGACCCUGCUCCCCGGAUACGGGGGCCACAUCCUGCUCGUCUUGGGCCUUGGCAUCAUCCUGAAUUUGCUAGUGCCAGUAGAGAAUGGGCCUCCCCCUGUCUCAGGCUCCUGUAGGAAGUGGGCCGGGGUUUCUCAAUCGAGGGUUGUACUGCCCCCUAGGGGCCAUUUCAAAGUGUACAAGGGCAUCUUGGAGUUGUUCCAAUGACCGUAGAGUUCCUGUCGUUUAGAGGAGUAAGCGCUCCGCAAUGCGGGGAACAGAUCCUUACAAAGAAUUGUCUCACCUAAGAUGCUUCGUGUUAAGAAAACUGAGGCCCAUAUGCUACUGAGCACAGUGACCAGCAUGUAGUAGGUGCUCAAUAAAUAUUUGUUGUUUAAAGAAUG